rnacentral:rRNA from 1 species
GACGAACGCUGGCGGCGUGCUUAACACACGCAAGUCGAACGGUAAGGCCCUUCGGGGUACACGAGUGGCGAACGGGUGAGUAACACGUGGGUGAUCUGCCCUGCACUUCGGGAUAAGCCUGGGAAACUGGGUCUAAUACCGGAUAGGACUCCGGACUGCAUGGUCUGGGGUGGAAAGCUUUUGCGGUGUGGGAUGGGCCCGCGGCCUAUCAGCUUGUUGGUGGGGUGAUGGCCUACCAAGGCGACGACGGGUAGCCGGCCUGAGAGGGUGACCGGCCACACUGGGACUGAGAUACGGCCCAGACUCCUACGGGAGGCAGCAGUGGGGAAUAUUGCACAAUGGGCGCAAGCCUGAUGCAGCGACGCCGCGUGAGGGAUGAGGGCCUUCGGGUUGUAAACCUCUUUCAGCACAGACGAAGCGCAAGUGACGGUAUGUGCAGAAGAAGGACCGGCCAACUACGUGCCAGCAGCCGCGGUAA